rnacentral:rRNA from 1 species
GACGAAUGCUGGCUGCGUGCUUAACACAUGCAAGUCGAACGGUGAAGGAGAGCUUGCUCUCCGGAUCAUUGGCGAACGGGUGAGUAACACGUGGGCAACCUGCCCCUCACUCUGGGAUAACGCCGGGAAACCGGCGCUAAUACCGGAUACGACCAGGAGCGACAUCUCGCCUGGUGGAAAGAACUUCGGUGAGGGAUGGGCCCGCGGCCUAUCAGAUUGUUGGGGGGGUAACGGCCCACCAAGGCGACGACGGGUAGCCGGCCUGAGAGGGCGACCGGCCACACUGGGACUGAGACACGGCCCAGACUCCUACGGGAGGCAGCAGUGGGGAAUAUUGCGCAAUGGGCGAAAGCCUGACGCAGCGACGCAGCGUGAGGGACGACGGCCUUCGGGUUGUAAACCUCUUUCAGCGGGGACGAAGCGAAAGUGACGGUACCCGCAGAAGAAGCACCGGCUAAUUACGUGCCAGCAGCCGCAGUAACAC